UACGUAGGGUGCGAGCGUUGUCCGGAAUUACUGGGCGUAAAGAGCUCGUAGGUGGUUUGUCGCGUUGUUCGUGAAAACCGGGGGCUUAACCCUCGGCGUGCGGGCGAUACGGGCAGACUUGAGUACGGCAGGGGAGACUGGAAUUCCUGGUGUAGCGGUGGAAUGCGCAGAUAUCAGGAGGAACACCGGUGGCGAAGGCGGGUCUCUGGGCAGUAACUGACGCUGAGGAGCGAAAGCGUGGGGAGCGAACAGG
rnacentral:rRNA from 1 species